rnacentral:rRNA from 1 species
AUUGAACGCUGGCGGCAGGCCUAACACAUGCAAGUCGAACGAGUGGCGGACGGGUGAGUAAUGUCUGGGAAACUGCCCGAUGGAGGGGGAUAACUACUGGAAACGGUAGCUAAUACCGCAUACCAUCGGAUGUGCCCAGAUGGGAUUAGCUAGUAGGUGGGGUAAAGGCUCACCUAGGCGACGAUCCCUAGCUGGUCUGAGAGGAUGACCAGCCACACUGGAACUUAGACACGGGCCAGACUCCUACGGGAGGCAGCAGUGGGGAAUAUUGCACAAUGGGCGCAAGCCUGAUGCAGCCAUGCCGCGUGUAUGAAGAAGGCCUUCGGGUUGUAAAGUACUUUCAGCGGGGAGGCGUUACCCGCAGAAGAAGCACCGGCUAACUCCGUGCCAGCAGCCGCGGUAAUUC